rnacentral:rRNA from 1 species
UACAGAGGGUGCAAGCGUUGUUCGGAAUUAUUGGGCGUAAAGCGCGUGUAGGCGGCUUUGCAAGUCGGGUGUGAAAGCCCUCAGCUUAACUGAGGAAGUGCGCCCGAAACUGCAGAGCUUGAGUACCGGAGAGGAUGGUGGAAUUCCCCAAGUAGAGGUGAAAUUCGUAGAUAUGGGGGAGGAACACCGGUGGCAAGAGCCACUCUGGACGGAUACUGACGCUGAGACGCGAAAGCGUGGGUAGCAAACAGG